CCUACGGGAGGCUGCAGUCGAGAAUCUUUCACAAUGGGGGAAACCCUGAUGGUGCGACGCCGCGUGGGGGAAUGAAGGUCUUCGGAUUGUAAACCCCUGUCAUGUGGGAGCAAAUUAAAAAGAUAGUACCACAAGAGGAAGAGACGGCUAACUCUGGGCCAGCAGCCGCGGUAAUGCAGAGGUCCCAAGCGUUGUUCGGAAUGACUGGGCGUAAAGGGUGCGUAGGCUGUUUCGUAAGUCGCGGGUGAAAGGCGCGGGCUCAACCCGCGAGCGGCACAUGAUACUGCGAGACUAGAGUAAUGGAGGGGGAGCCGGAAUUCUCGGUGUAGCAGUGAAAUGCGUAGAUAUCGAGAGGAACACUCGUGGCGAAGGCGGGUUCCUGGACAUUAACUGACGCUGAGGCACGAAGGCCAGGGGAGCGAAAGGGAUUAGAUACCCCAGUAGUC
rnacentral:rRNA from 1 species